AGCGAACGCUGGCGGCAGGCCUAACACAUGCAAGUCGAACGAAGUCUUCGGACUUAGUGGCGGACGGGUGAGUAACACGUGGGAACGUGCCUUUAGGUUCGGAAUAACUCAGGGAAACUUGUGCUAAUACCGCAUGUGCCCUUCGGGGGAAAGAUUUAUCGCCUUUAGAGCGGCCCGCGUCUGAUUAGCUAGUUGGUGAGGUAAAGGCUCACCAAGGCUACGAUCAGUAGCUGGUCUGAGAGGAUGACCAGCCACAUUGGGACUGAGCACACGGCCCAAACUCCUACGGGAGGCAGCAGUGGGGAAUCUUGCGCAAUGGGCGAAAGCCUGACGCAGCCAUGCCGCGUGGAUGAUGAAGGUCUUAGGAUUGUAAAAUCCUUUCACCGGUGAAGAUAAUGACUGUAGCCGGAGAAGAAGCCCCGGCUAACUUCGUGCCAGCCGCCGCCGUAUAC
rnacentral:rRNA from 1 species